ACUCUACUCCCUCCGUUCCAAAUUACUUGACUCAUAUUUAGAAUGUAUCUAGACACUAAAUAAGUAUAGAUAUAUUUAUAUUUAGAUAAAUUCAAGUCAACUAAUUUGAAACGAAGGGAAUAUCUA
rfam:Triticum aestivum genome assembly, contig: Triticum_aestivum_CS42_TGACv1_scaffold_306833_4AS